UGUUCAUUUUACCUAUUAAACUUAUCUUUGUGGCUUUUCUGAAGGGUGAAAUUGGACCUCCUGGUCCACCUGGGUGUACAUCAACAGGAGAAUUCGUUGGUUCAAUAGAUGAAAUUCUAAAUGAACACAAGGGAAUGAAAGGAAACAAAGGAAUGAUAGGAGAACCUGGAUUUCCAGGUUUUCCUACACAAGAAGCAGAAAAGGGAGAAGAAGGAAUAACUGGCUUUCCAGGACAAAGAGGUUUGCCAGGAAUCAAUGGCCUAAAAGGAGCUGAAGGGG
rnacentral:lncRNA from 1 species